GUGAUGGAUAUGUCAAGUGUAAUGACAGAUAUAAAAAGUGUGGUGAUAGAUAUACAAAGAGUGGUGACAGAUAUAUAAAGUGUGGUGACAGAAAUAUAAAGUAUGGUGACAGAUAUAUAAAGUGUGGUGACUGGUAUAUAAAGUUUGGUGACAGAUAUAUAAAGUGUGGUGACAGAUAUAGAAAGUGUUGUGGCAGAUAUAUAAAGUGUGGUGACAGAAUAUAAAGUGUGGUGACAGAUAUCUAAAGUAGUGAUAGAUAUAUAAAGUGUGGUGAUGGAUAUGUCAAGUGUAAUGACAGAUAUAUAAAGUGUGGUGAUAGAUAUACAAAGUGUGGUGACAGAUAUAUAAAGUGUGGUGACAGAGUCUGGUGACAGAUAUAUAUAAAGUGUGGUGACAGAUAUAUAAAGUGUGGUGACAGAUAUGUAAAGUGUGGUGAUAAAUAUAUAAAGUGUGUUGAUUGAUAUAUAAAGUGUAAUUAUAGAUAUAUA
rnacentral:lncRNA from 1 species